GCUGUUGUAGCUCAGUGGUGUGAGUAGAAAGUAUCCACUAUCAUACAUAGUAAAAGCUAAUAUCAAGAUAGAGAGUGUGGGAUUGCAGAUCCUACGGUCAAGAGUUCGAACCUCUUCGACAGCU